GGGGGAUAACGUUUGGAAACGAACGCUAAUACCGCAUGAUAUUAUUGGGCAGCAUUGCCUGAUAAUCAAAGGAGCAAUCCGCUGAAAGAUGGGCUCGCGUCCGAUUAGGUAGUUGGCGGGGUAACGGCCCACCAAGCCGACGAUCGGUAGCCGGACUGAGAGGUUGAACGGCCACAUUGGGACUGAGACACGGCCCAGACUCCUACGGGAGGCAGCAGUGAGGGAUAUUGGUCAAUGGGGGAAACCCUGAACCAGCAACGCCGCGUGAGGGAAGACGGUUUUCGGAUUGUAAACCUCUGUCCUCUGUGAAGAUGAUGACGGUAGCAGAGGAGGAAGCUCCGGCUAACUACGUGCCAGCAGCCGCGGUAAUACGUAGGGAGCAAGCGUUGUCCGGAUUUACUGGGUGUAAAGGGUGCGUAGGCGGCUUUGCAAGUCAGAAGUGAAAUCUAUGGGCUUAACCCAUAAACUGCUUUUGAAACUGCAGGGCUUGAGUGAAGUAGAGGUAGGCGGAAUUCCCGGUGUAGCGGUGAAAUGCGUAGAGAUCGGGAGGAACACCAGUGGCGAAGGCGGCCUACUGGGCUUUAACUGACGCUGAGGCACGAAGGCGUGGGUAGCAAACAGGAUUAGAUACCCUGGUAGUCCACGCUGUAAACGAUGAUUACUAGGUGUGGGUGGACUGACCCCAUCCGUGCCGGAGUUAACA
rnacentral:rRNA from 1 species